GACGAACGCUGGCGGCGUGCUUAACACAUGCAAGUCGAGCGGAGCGGCGAACGGGUGAGUAACGCGUGAGUAACUGCCCCCCUCUCUGGGAUAACAGUUGGAAACGGCUGCUAAUACCGGAUAGUGGGGGAUGACUCGCGUGCUAUCGGCUUGUUGGUGGGGUAGUGGCCUACCAAGCCGACGACGGGUAGCCGGCCUGAGAGGGCGACCGGCCACAUUGGGCUAGGGUAGGGCCCGGACGCCUACGGGGGGCAGGAGGGGGGAAUCGUGCACAAUGAGGGAAAGCCUGAUGCAGCAGGGCGGGGGCGGGAUGUCGGUGUUGGGGGUGUAAACCGCUUUAAGCCAUGACGCGGUAGUGGCAGAAGAAGCACCGGCUAACUACGUGCCAGCAGCCGCGGUAAUAC
rnacentral:rRNA from 1 species